AAGAGGAGCUUGCUCCUUUGGCGUCGAGCGGCGGACGGGUGAGUAAUGCUUGGGAAUGUGCCUUAUGGUGGGGGACAACAGUUGGAAACGACUGCUAAUACCGCAUAAUGUCUUCGGACCAAAGUGGGGGACCUUCGGGCCUCACGCCAUAAGAUCAGCCCAAGUGGGAUUAGCUAGUUGGUAAGGUAAUGGCUUACCACGGCGACGAUCCCUAGCUGGUUUGAGAGGAUGAUCAGCCACACUGGGACUGAGACACGGCCCACACUCAUACGGGAGGCAGCAGUGGGGAAUAUUGCACAAUGGGCGCAAGCCUGAUGCAGCCAUGCCGCGUGUGUGAAGAAGGCCUUCGGGUUGUAAAGCACUUUCAGUAAGGAGGAAAGGUUAAGUGUUAAUAGCACUUAGCUGUGACGUUACUUACAGAAGAAGCACCGGCUAACUCCGUGCCAGCAGCCGCGGUAAUACGGAGGGUGCGAGCGUUAAUCGGAAUUACUGGGCGUAAAGCGUACGCGGGCGGUUUGUUAAGCGAGAUGUGAAAGCCCCGGGCUCAACCUGGGAACUGCAUUUCGAACUGGCAAACUAGAGUGUGAUAGAGGGUGGUAGAAUUUCAGGUGUAGCGGUGAAAUGCGUAGAGAUCUGAAGAAAUACCGAUGGCGAAGGCCGCCACCUGGGUCAACACUGACGCUCAUG
rnacentral:rRNA from 1 species